AACGACGCUGCGGCACCCGCUCCAGACAUGCUGCUGCUGAAGAAACACACGGAGGACAUCAGCAGCGUCUACGAGAUCCGUGAGAGGCUCGGAUCGGGUGCCUUCUCCGAGGUGGUGCUGGCCCAGGAGCGGGGCUCCGCACACCUCGUGGCCCUCAAGUGCAUCCCCAAGAAGGCCCUCCGGGGCAAGGAGGCCCUGGUGGAGAAUGAGAUCGCAGUGCUCCGUAGGAUCAGUCACCCCAACAUCGUCGCUCUGGAGGAUGUCCACGAGAGCCCUUCCCACCUCUACCUGGCCAUGGAACUGUGAGGAGGGCCUGGGCAGGCUGUGGGAGCCGGGGAGGGACUGAGCAGUGAGUGGGGCUGAAGGCCAGGCUGAGUGCCUGGGUCAGCCAAACCCCUGGCACCCCCAGGGUGACGGGUGGCGAGCUGUUUGACCGCAUCAUGGAGCGCGGCUCCUACACAGAGAAGGAUGCCAGCCAUCUGGUGGGUCAGGUCCUUGGCGCCGUCUCCUACCUGCACAGCCUGGGGAUCGUGCACCGGGACCUCAAGGUGCCUGGCUGGGGCCUCUGCACCUCACCCUCCCACCUGCCCACCUGGCCCUGCCUUUGUUUUCCCGGGAGCACGGCUGGGGCCUUUCUUGAUCUCCCGCUCCACCAAGGCUCUGGGGAACCUGAGAGUGCCUAGUCCCCAUCCUGUCCCAGCACCGGCACCGCGUCAGGACUGACUGGCCCUUUUCCCGGUGUCCGUGUGUCACAGCCCGAAAACCUCCUGUAUGCCACGCCCUUUGAGGACUCGAAGAUCAUGGUCUCUGACUUUGGACUCUCCAAAAUCCAGGCUGGCAACAUGCUAGGCACCGCCUGUGGGACCCC
rnacentral:sRNA from 1 species